UCCGAAUUGGUGUAGUGGCUAACAUUUGACGCUCUCAUGAUUGUACAGUCAAUAGGACCGUCAAGCCCGGGGUUCGAUUCCCCGAUUCGGAG
rnacentral:tRNA from 1 species